CUUUCAUUUUUCUUUUUCCUUCCCUCUUUUUUCCUUUUUCUUUUCUUCUUCGUUCGGCCCCCUAGCCCGAACUCACACUGCUGCUGCCUCCUUCACGCCGCCGCUCAUGCUCCUCCUCAGCUCGGUGGUGCGAUGGUGGCAGUAGAGGUGGAGGGGGGCACGCAAGAACACCGAUUGGGGGUGGUCUGACAUGCCCAGAAGGACCAAAAUGUAACGGGUGCAAAGUUUCUGGGGCAAAAAUGUAAUUUCAUGAAAAUAUGGGGUUAAAAUGUAAUUUAUAGAAAGUUUAGGGGCUCGAAUGUAAUUUACAAAAUAUUAGGGGUUAAAAUGUAAUUUUUAUUUUUUGCAUUUUA